rnacentral:rRNA from 1 species
AGUGAACGCUGGCGGCAGGCCUAACACAUGCAAGUCGAACGGUAACAGGAAGCAGCUUGCUGCUUUGCUGACGAGUGGCGGACGGGUGAGUGAUGUCUGGGAAACUGCCUGAUGGAGGGGGAGAACUACUGGAAACGGUAGCUAAUACCGCAUAACGUCGCAAGACCAAAGGGGGGGACCUUCUGGCCUCUUGCCAUCGGAUGUGCCCAGAUGGGAUUAGCUAGUAGGUGGGGUAACGGCUCACCUAGGCGACGAUCCCUAGCUGGUCUGAGAGGAUGACCAGCCACACUGGAACUGAGACACGGUCCAGACUCCUACGGGAGGCAGCAGUGGGGAAUAUUGCACAAUGGGCGCAAGCCUGAUGCAGCCAUGCCGCGUGUAUGAAGAAGGCCUUCGGGUUGUAAAGUACUUUCAGCGGGGAGGAAGGGAGUAAAGUUAAUACCUUUGCUCAUUGACGUUACCCGCAGAAGAAGCACCGGCUAACUCCGUG